AUGGCUCAGGAUGAACGCUAGCUACAGGCUUAACACAUGCAAGUCGAGGGGCAGCAUAACGAAAGCUUGCUUUGUUGAUGGCGACCGGCGCACGGGUGAGUAACGCGUAUCCAACCUUCCCUAUACUAGAGAAUAGCCCGGCGAAAGUCGGAUUAAUGCUCUAUGUUCUCUUUGAUGGCAUCUGACGAGAAGCAAAGGUUUACCGGUAUAGGAUGGGGAUGCGUCUGAUUAGGUUGUUGGCGGGGUAACGGCCCACCAAGCCUACGAUCAGUAGGGGUUCUGAGAGGAAGGUCCCCCACAUUGGUACUGAGACACGGACCAAACUCCUACGGGAGGCAGCAGUGAGGAAUAUUGGUCAAUGGGCGAGAGCCUGAGCCAGCCAAGUAGCGUGCAGGAAUGACUGCCCUAUGGGUUGUAAACUGCCUUUAUGCGGGAAUAAAGUCAGAUACGUGUACCUGUUUGUAUGUACCGCAUGAAUAAGGACCGGCUAAUUCCGUGCCAGCAGCGGC
rnacentral:rRNA from 1 species